rnacentral:piRNA from 1 species
UGGCUUAUGCGCACCUACAGGGUUUCUCCAC